rnacentral:rRNA from 1 species
UACGUAGGGUGCGAGCGUUGUCCGGAAUUAUUGGGCGUAAAGAGCGUGUAGGCGGCCCGAUUAGUCCGCUGUGAAAAGUCCAGGGCUCAACCCUGGAAUGCCGGUGGAUACUGCAGGGCUAGAGUCCGGAAGAGGCGAGUGGAAUUCCUGGUGUAGCGGUGAAAUGCGCAGAUAUCAGGAGGAACACCGAUGGCGAAGGCAGCUCGCUGGGACGGUACUGACGCUGAGAAGCGAAAGCAUGGGGAGCGAACAGG